UACGAAGGGGGCUAGCGUUGUUCGGAAUUACUGGGCGUAAAGCGCACGUAGGCGGAUAUUUAAGUCAGGGGUGAAAUCCCGGGGCUCAACCCCGGAACUGCCUUUGAUACUGGGUAUCUAGAGUCCAGAAGAGGUGAGUGGAAUUCCGAGUGUAGAGAUGAAAUUCGUAGAUAUUCGGAGGAACACCAGUGGCGAAGGCGGCUCACUGGUCUGGUACUGACGCUGAGGUGCGAAAGCGUGGGGAGCGAACAGG
rnacentral:rRNA from 1 species